AGGAGUCUUUGAAAAGUUUGGAGAAGUUAAACCAACAAAUGAAAUCACAAGCUCUUGAGCUGUUUGAGUUUCUGUUUUAAUUGUUCUCUUUUGAGUUUUAACUGUUCU